GCAGUAAACACAACACUUUCUUCUCUUUUUCUUCUCUCUCUCACAAAAUAGUUGUUGAAAUGCAGCGCCGGGGGAGGGUACUGCGUCUCUCGAUAGCCCAUUGAAUAGUGUAUGAACGGAAGAGACACAGAGAAGGGCGCGCUCCGAUUUGUCUGUGUGUGUGGUGUCUGUGCUGCU
ensembl:ncRNA Y106G6E.7 ncRNA